AGGAACAUUCUGUGGAACGGGCUGGUUUAAACCGGUCUGAUCCGGUAUUCGGGUUCCAGCUGUUUCACGGCGUUCCA
ensembl:miRNA cin-mir-4018b cin-mir-4018b